AGCUUUCCAGUUUCCACCCUAAUUUCUUUCAGAAGCCAUCUCAGCAACCAAAAGCAACAAGACGCAACGCAAAUAUCCCAGAAAUAUAAAAUCGCCGGAUCGACCUUUCCAUCUCCUUCAUCAAGCAUUAUAUUUAAUGGCAGGGAGACACCGAUAUUCUCCAUACAGAAACCAUCGUGGGCAUCCUCCAGAAGGGCCUCCUUCGCGGCUUCAUAUGGCUCGACCCAUGCCACCCCAUCCUGUUAUGUUGGAAGAAGAACUUGAAAUGCAACAUCAUGAAAUCCGCAGGCUUUUGGGUGAAAAUCGAAGGUUAGUUGAAGAUCGCAUUGCUCUGCAACGAGAGUUAGGUGCUAGCAGAGAAGAACUUAGGCGAAUGAACAGUGCAAUUGCUGAGAUUCAAGCAGAAACUGAAUUGCAUUCAAGGCAGCUUAUUGAGCGUGGGCUGAAGCUUGAAGCUGAUCUUCAUGCCACUGAACCUCUGAAAAAAGAGGCUAUGCAACUUCAUGCUGAAGUAGAGAGGCUUAGUUCUAUUAGGCAUGAUCUAUCUGGGCAAGUUCAGACUCUCACAAAAGACAUUGCAAAACUGCAAGCUGAUAACAAGCAGCUUCCAUUGUUGAGAGCAGAGCUUGAGGGACUACAGAAGGAGCUAAUGCAUGCUAGAGCUGCUAUUGAUUAUGAGAAGAAGGGAGGUAUUGAGCUGAUGGAUCAAAAACAGGCAAUGGAGAAGAACUUGGUUUCUAUGGCACGGGAGGUUGAAAAGCUUCGGGCAGAACUUACAAAUACUGAUGCUAGACCGUGGGGUGCUGGUGGAUCAUACAGGAUGAAUGUUGGCAGUUCUGGUGGCAGUUUUCCUCGUCCAUAUGGCGAUUCAUAUGGGCGUACACUGGGUGCUGCCGACAAUGGUACAUUGUACGGUUCAAGUUCUACUCCAUGGGCAGAGCUCGAGAAAUCUCGAAUGGCUCGUCGCUGAAACGUCGAUGGUUUCUUUUCAAGUUGAAAAUCACUUCUUCUCCUUGUUGUCUUGGCUAUCCAUUAUGGAGUGGGUAGAAGUGUAUAGCUCUUCUGAGUUUGUGUUUACAUCGCCCUCUAGACAACGAUCAUGCAGGCUUCUCAUGUAUCUUGUUUUGGUGCAAUCUUUGCUUAUUUCUACAUCUGAUUGUAAUGCUGCACUAUACUUCAGUAGUCAGGAUAAUCUCGCCACCAUCCAAGACAGCUUUGCUCGUUUCAUGUUGAUGCCAGCCGUGCACGUUUAGAGGAAAGGAGGUCGAAAGGCCAUCUCACAUGGGGCUGAGUUCUCGUAUGGACUUUAUGCUCUAGGCAAGUAUUCUGUCUCCAUUUUGUGGGUAAUUUAGGUUCCAACUUCCGUGAAUAUAAAUUUUUAGCCACCCUACAUAAAUGUACUUUAUUUACUUAGAUUAUUGUCUCUACUAGGUGUUUGUUUAUUUUGGAACCUUGGCAUAGAUAUAUGUGUCUUACAUGGAAGUAAAUUUGUAUCUUUUGGGGUUGAUUUUAGGUGACUUUAGUUCUAUAUGCUUCUUUUCCGGUUGCAUCAGAACAAAAUCGCUCUUUUGAUGUUACUAGGAUUUCCAUUAUUAAAUCCCACUCUAUCUUGUCACCGUUUCUCACUUCUCUUUGCGGUAGGGAUAGUUUCUAGUUUGAAAAUAAUUUUGUUACUCGUAAUGCAGUAUUCCUAAGCUGAGCCUAUCCACUGGACCUCAAUAGGUCAUGCAAGCUACAAUCCUGUAGUUUGGUGAUGAGAGUAAUGAUAUUCUGGACGAAAUGGUGCACCGAAUUCGCUCAUGAUGCUGAUCAGCUCAUGUCAGUUUUUUAGAUGAACGUUAGCAUUAUAGAUGAAUUUAGAAUUACCCGUUGGAAUAAAUUUUACUCUUAGUUGUCCUUCAUCGUGGCAAGUAGGCCAGUGCUGUGAUCUUGCAAAGAUUUUGUCAUUUUUAGUUACCAUUAGACAAGAUUACAGCUGACCCAUUAGGUCUUGAUGCCUUGUCCAUGACCUAAGUUUCAUCUGGAGGAGGCUUGGGUGCUUCAUCACUUGUGAAAUGAGACAACACAAAUGAUAUGGAUGCUAGGAUAACAUUCUGACAACUUUAAAGUACACGGGACCUUCCCAUAACCUUGCUGCUUUUUUUUGGGUAACCAUGAGUGUCCAGGCCAUAUUGCGUGCACCUCAACUAAUCUCAUUAGGCUUGAAGAUAACAGCCAUGAAAAAUCCCAGUGGCCUUAAGAAGAUUCGAACCGGCAACCUACAGGGAGAGUUCCCAAGGCGUCCCCAGGCCUAGUACUUGUUUGCCGGUUAAGCUGGCCCUUAACGUUGAGAAGCUUGUUGCUUCAGGUUGGCCCUGAAUUGUCAUCUUAUCUCCAAUUACACAUUGAAGAAAAGAUGACAUUGUACUUCAGGUUAUACCAUCAAAGGUGAUCAUUAAUCUGCAUGAGUUCUUAAUAGCUUUCUAUAGAACUUGCUACUAUAGUCAAAGAUUCAAGUGGUGCAUUUCCUAUAUAUGAGAGGUUGU